UUCUCUCUCCACUGUAGUUUCUCAUCUGUGAUAUCGGUCCUUUAUCUUCGGCUUCUUGUCCGAAAAUUUCACAAUUUGAUAAACCUGAAAAUUACUCGGUCUUCUCUUCAGACGACGAGGGGAAAGCGAGGUUUGCCGGAGAAUAUUUUUUGUACGAAUUUUGCGGCAUCUGGGGGGCAGAGGAAGAGGAGCUCGAAAAAGGGGAAAAAGGGAAAUUGAAUUUUUAUUUUUUCCAUCUCGGUAUUUGGGUGGUAAAUUGAGACGUGUUAAAGUUUGCUGCUCCAGUGAAGAAGAGCCCUAGACUGUUCUCCGCUUCUCCUUCUUCCCGGAUCACAACUUUCUGCUUCGUUUCGCAUGAUGGAUCUACUGUCUAUGGAAAAGAUUAGCCGGUGAAAUUUGGUGAUCGGGACUUAAAUGCUUGGUAACGAAUGUGAAAACGGGUUCUGCAAUUUAUUUGAGCUAAAAGACUUUUCCCGUGCCACCCAGCGCGUGACACGGGUUGCAGAUACUUUGAGAGGGCAAGUCAUAGAUAAAGAUAUUACUAAUAUUGGACCACCCUUGAAUUUCAAUCUGAACGCACAGCAACCAGGGGAUGUGUUCUCAGGAACCUUCUAUUUGAACCAUUCGGUGGAUCGAAAUGUUUUCCCACUUGAACAGCAUCAUUUCCAGGGAAUGCGAAAUCAACAGGGCUUGUUCUUGGACAGCUUAAGUUAUUACCAAAACAAUAUAAUCUCAGGGGUUUCAUCUGGGUUUAAGUUUCAGCAAGAAAAUGACUCCGUGGGCAGUCCAACCUUGACGACAAAUUCAGAAAGGUCUGAGAUAACUGAAGCUUCAACUGAUUUUUGUUUACAGAAAAGGCAAAAGAUAAAUUUCUGUCCAGCAAAACCUCUUUCCACAGAGUAUCCUUAUGCAGCAAUUUGGGUAUGAUGAGAUGCAGUUGUUGCAACAGCAAGUGUUGCUCAAACAACUACAGGUUCUUCAGAGGCAACAACUUCAGCAACAGAACUUUUUAAGUCCGUUUUCGCCAGCCCAUAGGCAAGCUAAUAGUGGGCAGUUUCCACCACUCAUUGAUGGAACAUCUCUUGGCGAUGCAUCACAAGGAUAUAUAAACUUGCCACAGAGGAUCACAUCCCCUGCUCAACAAGGAACACUCAACAGAACCUUGUUUCCCAUAGGCCUAGGUUCUCAUCAGCUUGAUGCUUCUCUAUAUGGUACUCCGGUUGCUAAUGCGAGAGGCAAUAUGGGUCAACAGUCACCAAUGCAAGCCAUGUAUCAGGACUCCGGUAGUCUAGCAGCUAAGAUCUCUGGUCAAAUACAGAAACCUGUAUCGCAGUUAUCAGACUUUAGUAACUCAUUCCUGAAAGAUCAGUAUAAAUUUUCUCCAGCUCAGGUUUCCUUACCGCAGGGAGCUUUUAUGUCGGAUUUGGGGUUUCAGGGGAAAGGUACACCAGAAGCUGGUCCUGCCUAUGGUUUGAACAUUGGACUAUAUUCUGACAAUCUCGUGAUGGGAAAUUCUCAACAAAUCAACACAUCUUCAAGCACCUGCAGUGGGAGGCAAGAGCAAGUGAGUUGGUCCUCAGUUCAGCAAACAGAUGCAAAACCAUCUCAGGGUUUAGUUCCUCUAGACCCAUUAGAAGAGAAGAUCCUCUUUAAUAUGGAGGAUAGUAGUAUAUCCGAUAUUGCAUCUGGAGUCUUUGGAGACAAAUAUGACGAUGCCAAUUUCUCCAACACAUUCCCUUCCAUCCAGAGUGGAAGUUGGAGCGCUUUAAUGCAGUCUGCUGUUGCAGAAGCUUCUAGCAGCGAUACUGGUGUGCAGGAUGAGUUUAGCGGUUUGACAUAUCAGAAUAUGGAACUAUCGGCUGAUAAUAACAUAACAAAGUUUAGAGAUAGUGAUAAGCAACAAGCAGGUUGGGUAAAUGAUAGCUUGCCUUGCUCAGCAUCCUUUACCUCCAAAUCGUUGGAGAUGGAUAAUAAUCCCGAUAUAGGCUCUAGUUUCCCCGGUUUUCAGAUGCUUUCAGAUCAGCAGAGAGUAGGUAGCUGUCAUGGUGAUGGUACUCCUGAAUCUACUCAGAGAUCUUCGAAGGUAAGCGGGCUACCCAUCGGAGGAUACCGACAGGUACAAACAGGUGUGCAGUUUGAUGGCACCUCUGCAGGUAAGAUGCACUCCGCCGAAAUACUCAAUCAGGUGCAUUCUCGAAUAGGAAACCUUGCAACCUGUAGAGAUGAUUCAUCUGCAAAUAACUUAAGCGGUACGUCGAAUUCCUUUCAGCCAUUGGCUUCUGCACUUGAUCUUUCUCAAAGUGGAAAAUGGGAAAAUGUAUCUGGUCCUCUUGGAAGAGCCGGUGUAUUUCCCAGUUUCAUACAACAGAAUGAUCCUGCUACAAUAUCUGCAUCUGGUGCUUUGAGCGAAAGAAACGAAUCUCAGGUUCAAAUGGUCCAUCCACUUGUAGCAUCUGAAUCCGACAAUGCAAACCAAAUGUCUACUCACUCUGGCUUACCUGGCCAGGAUGUCACUCGACAGUUCAAUGUGUGGAUGGACUUGCCGACUCGCCAACAUCCUCGAGAUCAGGAAUCAUCCAAGGUUCCUUUGGAUACAAAGUCAUCUGCUGAUUUAUUGGGGGGUAAUGUUGUAAGCUGGCAGAAAUCUCAUGUUCCGUCUGGGGCUUACAAUGUUCCGCAAAGGGUUGGUUUGCCUCAAUUUCAGGGUUCUAAGCUUGUCUCUGGUUCAAUUGCUGCCAACAAAGACUUUCCAUCUGUCAGCCUGGGCUGCAAACCAAGCGAACCUGUGCCUCAGAGCUAUCCAUCGCUUAACAUUUUACAGGUGGCAAACAAUGCAGACACUGAUGCAUCUAAGACUGGUGUGAAUUCUGAUACUGGUCCCACUAUCCAGAGAGGCGUUGGCAUCUUUGGUCAAAAGUUAUACGAAGAGAACUCUGGACUUAAAGUCUCGAUGAAUAGUGGGAUGAACUCAAUGGCACAGCUUAAUCAAUUUGCAUCCGGGGACGCAAAAAUGAACUCGAUGGCUGAAGCAAGGAAAACUCAAAUUGAACAAAUUGUGCCACAGAACCUACUUCCAGGUGUUUGCUCCAGUGGGAUGGUUUCCCUAGCCCAGUGGCACUCUCACAAUCAGUGCAAUGGCAGCAGCAAUGUCGUUGCUAGUAGCUUGGAACAUGGCCGUGUCCAUCUUCCUGCGUCAACGUCUAUCUCGUUCAAGCAGAUAGGGGCUUUAAAAAACGGCGAGAUACAACCUGUAUAUGAUUCUAAGAACAUUCCCAUUGGCAAUUUGUCUUCUGUGAAACAUGCAGAUGUGGUUCCUUAUACAGAACAAGAACUUUCUGCUCAGGAUGUUAGGUCUUUGGACACAAUGGACCAAAAUAUGGCUAUGAUCAUAUCCAAGAAACGCAAAUUUAUGGCACGCCCUUGGCAUGAAGAAGUUACACAUGUAUCCAAACGACACCAAACGAUGAGUGUGGCAGGACAAGAGUGGGCCCAAAUUACCAAUAGGCUGAUUGAGAAGGGAGAAUACGAGAUUGGGGAGAUUGAAUCUGUCCAACCAUUUCCCCGAGCAAAGAGAAGGCUAGUACUGACUGCACAACUUAUGCAGCAGCUUUUCCGCCCAGCACCCGCGUUCAUUUUCUUGUCCGAUGUAUCAUCAAGCUAUCAUAGUCUGUUAUACUUCGUCGCUAGAGUAAACUUAGGCGAUGCAUGCUGCCUUACAUACAAAGGAGAAAAUGGUCUGCCAUCAUCUUCUAACGAGGUUAACAAGUUUCCGGAAAAGAUCGAAACGCUCAAGAAAAGAGGGGAUCAGCAAUAUCUUGAAGUUGCUAAAGAGUUGACAGAGAAGGUAAAGAAGGUGGAAGGUGACUUUGAAAGACUGGAAAAAACAGCUUCAGUGGCAGAAAUCAAAUUUGAGAUUGAGGAUUUGGAAAGAUUUGCUGUCAUCAACCGUUUUGCGAGGUUUCAUAGCAGGGCACCACAAGUUAACAACUCUGGUAACCCAUCACCACCCGGUGUGCCAAAACCGAUACCACAGAGAUACAUCACAGCAGUACUCUCCCCAAAAACCCUACCAGAGAGAGUACAAUGCCUUUCGCUUUGAUUUUUUUCCCAACUAAUCAUCUUCUCUGUCGAUUUGUCCCUUCUGCUCUGCUCAUGACAUCCCAGAACUGCACCGCAUCCUUCUUGGAUCUCACUAUACUAAUAUUCUUUGUCACUCAACAUGGAAGAAAAAAGAUCAAAACAUCAGACGGGAAUGCUGACACCUGUUGCUGUGGCUCUGAUGAAUCUUUUUCAGGUUCCUUCCUUUCGCUUCUUGGCUUCUGCCCCUUUAUGGUUUCAGGUUUAAAGAUCUAUAAGCUGUCUAAGGAAGCCAAUCACAUGUCAGAGGUUAGCCGAACAUCGAGGGAGCUGAUACAAGAGGAAGUGGUGUCAGAAAGUUGAGGUGGCACAUCAGUUUAUGCGGUAACCGUACUCUAAACUGUCUGUUCAGACCUGUCGGAAUUGGAUACAGUCGGUAGACAAUGACAGGCAAUACUACAUAUAUAAUUAUAUUUGCAUAUACAUGACUACACAAGGACUAGCAAGUUCUGUUCAUAUUUUUCUUGUAAUUUCUUUUGCAUUAGCUUUUUCCCAAUAAGAGCCAAGAGAUGAAGCUACUUCAAUUAAGGACGAGCGUUUCACACUGCCUUGCGCAACAAGGAAUCCAAAACACUGCCAAUGACUUAA